ACAGUGGCUCCUUCUUGCGGUUUAACUCACCGGAGGUGAGUGACGGGAUCCGCGGACCUUCCUUCCGGAUGAUAUAAUCUUUACCCUGGGUAAACUUUUCCGCGUCCCCUUGGUGGUCGGAUUGGGGGAGGAGAGGAGACGGUCCGCGGGAGAGAAAGGCAUGGCGACGCUCCGAUAAAAGAAAAGAACAACGAGAGCGGAAGGAGGGCGGAGAAAGGACGAGAUCGUCCCUUUCUACAGACCCGGGCUCGUUUUUUCCUUUUAUUCUCUUGACUUGGACCACGGCCUCUGGGGUUCUUCUUCCAGCUUCUGCGAAGAGGGGCAGGCGAUCCGGCGUCGUCUUUGGUAUUGCUAGUCGCUUCUUUAAUCCGAUCGGUAUCGUAAGUGGAGGCUUUCUUGAGUUCGGCAUCGGAUCUCGUGAUAUCCGUUCGGUUGUUCGGAGCUCCCUCGCAGGUUUCACUAUUAUGCUGACAUUUUCUCAUGGGCUCUUGGAACUGAUAUUUCCUGUAGCUUAUAGGAACUUGAUACCUUUGUGCAGUACUUGUUUUCUGUACUUAUGCCCUGAAAAUUCACUUAGAAGAAAGAGAUGCCGAAAUCUACCCACCAUCAGAAUGUUAGUUCACCGAGAGGAUUAGCCCAGCAAUCUGUUCGUUGUAUGAGCAGCAGACGUUCUCAAACAGGAACUGGGCAGCAUUCUUCUCCAACUGUAUUUCCAGAAAAAAGAGGCAAGACCAAAUCUUUGAAGCAGAGUGAUGAUGGUGUCGCCAAUGAAGGCCCUGAAAAGGUAAAGGCACAUGAGCACAGAAUAGAUAUUGGAGACGAGAGUUCUGAUCUGUUAGGGUAUGACGUCUUCUGUGGGAAACUUGCACUGGAUAAGAAAGCUAAAAUAACGAGUGCUGAUGAGCGGAUGGGGUCAGGAACUGGAAACCCUGAUAGCAUUGAUGCAAGACUUACGAGCAAAGCCCUGAUCUGGGGUUCUCAUAUGCUAAGACUUGAGGAUGUCAUAUCUGUGUCAUAUAAUUCUGGUCUCCGGCAUUUUCUUGUACAUGCAUACCCUGUUACAAAGAGGUCAUGUGGACUUUCUUGUUUUUUGAAGCCACAAAGGAUUAGAAAGGACUUCCGCUUCCUGGCUCCUAGUACAGAGGAAGCUAUUCAGUGGGUUAGUGGCUUUGCAGAUCAGCAGUGCUUUGUAAAUUACUUACCUCAUCCCAUGGUAUCAGGUAAGAAGCAGGCCCCUGACAUUGUCACAAGUGAGCCUCUAUUUGAUCAGCUGUACUUCAAAUGUAAAAGUCCUCCAAAAGUUCUUGUAAUAUUGAAUCCUCGAUCUGGACAUGGCCGAUCAAGUAAAGUUUUCCAUGGCAAAGUGGAACCAAUUUUCAAGCUUGCAGGUUUUAUGAUGGAGGUAGUUAAUACAAAAUAUGCAGGUCAUGCAAAAGAGCUUGCUUCUACUGUUGAUUUCCGCACAUGCCCAGAUGGAAUUAUAUGCGUUGGUGGUGAUGGAAUUGUGAAUGAGGUGCUCAAUGGUCUUCUCAGUAGAAGUGAUCAGAAGGAAGCAAUUUCCAUUCCUAUUGGGAUAAUUCCUGCUGGUUCUGACAAUUCACUUGUUUGGACUGUUCUGGGAGUUAGAGAUCCGAUUUCUGCUGCGAUAGCUAUUGUGAAGGGGGGCUUGACAGGUACAGAUGUUUUUGCCGUUGAAUGGAUUCAGAAUGGGGUUAUACACUUUGGUACAACAGUUACAUACUUUGGGUUUGUCAGUGAUGUUCUGGAGCUCUCUGAGAAAUAUCAGAAGCGUUUUGGUCCUCUUCGGUACUUUGUGGCUGGUUUUCUUAAAUUUCUAUGCUUGCCCAAGUACAACUUUGAGUUGGAAUAUCUUCCGAUGACGAAGGAGGCAGUAGACUCUCAAGGCAAGGUUUUGGAAGAUCAAGAAAAAAUUGAUAUGUCAGACCUCUACACAGACAUAAUGCGGAGGUCAAAAACUGAAGGCAUCCCCAGAGCUUCCAGUUUGUCCAGCAUUGAUUCAAUUAUGUCUCCUAGUAGGAUGUCUGGGGGUGAAUUCGACACUUCAGGUAGCACUCUUGCAAGCAAUGAGCCAUCUGAAUAUGUUCGUGGUCUUGAUCCCAAAUCAAAGCGUUUAUCCCUAGGGAGGAACAAUUUAGUGGCGGAACCAGAUGAAGUCCUUCACCCUCAGCCUCACCUUUCCUCCAACCCUAACUGGCCAAGGACUAGGUUAAAGUCACGGACAGAUAAAGGUUGGACUGGCUUGACUGCUACAAAUGAUUCCAGGGGUCCUUGGGCAGCCACGGCAUUGUAUGACAAAGAAGAUAUUUCCUCAACGGUAUCUGAUCCUGGACCUAUCUGGGAUACUGAGCCAAAGUGGGAUACUGAACCUAACUGGGAAACUGAGAAUUCCAUUGAGCUGCCUGGGCCACCAGAUGACGUAGAAUUAGGGAUAAAGAAGGAACUUGCUCCAAAGUUGGAGGAGAAGUGGGUAGUUAAGAAGGGGAAAUUUCUUGGCGUUUUGGUAUGCAACCAUUCAUGCAAGACUGUCCAGAGUUUAAGUUCCCAGGUUGUUGCACCAAAAGCUGAACACGAUGAUAACAGUUUGGACUUGCUAUUGGUCAAUGGAAGUGGCAGAAUGAGGUUGUUAAGAUUCUUUGUGCGCCUUCAAUUUGGUCAGCAUCUUUCUCUGCCGUAUGUCGAGUAUGUUAAGAUUGCAUGGUUGGUUAGCAUUAUAAGGUUGGCCUUCACUUCCAUUGGCAUCCAAUCCUUGCAGGUGAAAUCAGUGAAGCUUAGGCCUGGAAUUAAUACUCACAAUGGCUGUGGAAUUGAUGGGGAACUUCUUCGUGUAAAAGGACAAGUCUUGUGUUCUUUGCUUCCAGAGCAAUGCAGGCUGAUUGGUCGUCCUGCCAGAGAUCGUAUGUGAGGGCCGUAAGCUCCACUGCUAACAACCUGUAUGAGAUGUGGGUGUGGUAUACUCGGAGCACUCACUAUCUCAAACAUGGAUCAGACCAGCUUUGUUAUUUCAGAGGUCUCUGUAGAUUUUGAGUGCUUGACCAUCGUGCGUAUGAUUUUUUUAUCUUCAUCGACGUACAACACUUUUGUCGUUUGUAGCGGCCUGCCGUGUGUCCGUUCUGUCGUGCAGGAUUUUGGGAUGCUUUCUUGGCCUCGGCGGAGUUCAUUCCUAUACAUUUGUAAUUAUAGUGUCAGAGUAUCAAUAUUUCUUUUUCAGCUGAAUCACCAUUAUUUCAAUAUUCUACUAAUUUCCAGAUUUUACAAAGCUUAGCUGCUGUCAAGGUUGUUUUUAUAUUAGACCUGGAUUUUUGGAGUUUUAUCUGGCCUUUUCAAAUGUCAAAUCAGAUCUCAAUCCUCCGGUGGUUUGUGUACAUAAUAAUUCUAUGUGGUAUGUUAGCAUUUGAUGAAAAUUAAUAUUUUAUGUGUGGUAUGCUAGUAAUUGAUGUAUAAUUAGAAGUGUUAUUUUUGCUGACCAUAUAUUCUAUUAUCUGUUGUGAAUUAUGGGUGUGCGACUCAGCUCCCCAAAUCCCUCUCCACCUUUGCACUUCAUCUAACGUUGUAAGAAGGAAAAGUUGAAGGGCGAAAGCAAAGCCAUGGGAAAUAGCCAUUAGAGAACAUCAUGAAGCACGGGACGGUGUGGAUGGCAUGUAUUACAGGUGCGGGGUCUCGAGAGGCUUCUCUUUUCAAGAGGCUGAUCAGGCCUGUACGCAUGAAUCAAGCCAGGCGGAGGCUACUUCUAUUGUGUGUUGCUGAAUGCCGCUACUUGAUGAAACUAUGUAGUAGUGAUUGCUCUCCACAUAAGAGUCAGCUCCACCGGUGAUGGGUCAAGAUAUCCUAUAGGUUGUCCAUCGCUGGCGGAUGCAAUUGGCUUUGAUGUUAUUGAUCACCUGAUGGAAUCGAUCAGCUCUUUU